AGGACCUAAGUGCUGAUGGUGUGAGAAGCUGCCUGGGAUUCAGCCAGCAUCUUCUCAUGCACCCUGUGCUUAAUGACGUCAGUGGUGGGUGGCAGGGCCAUGGAAUAUUUGGUUUCAUUUGAGUCAUGGGACAAAGUUGGCCAGAGAGCCGGCUCUGGUGGCCCGUCCUUACUAGCACCUUCUCUUCCACAGGAACAGGGGCUGAAGGCCAAUAACUCCAAAGAGUUAAGCAUGUGCUUCACAGAGCUCACGACCAAUAUCAUCCCAGGGAGUAACAAGGUGAUCAAACCUAACUCAGGCCCCCGCAGAGCCACACCGUCGGCUGCCUUGACCGCUGUCUCCUUCCUGAUGCUGAAGCUGGCCUUGUAGGCUCUGGGAACCAUGUCGGGAGAUUUCUGGAAACUACACAGAUGAGAACACCCGCCUGGCAAAAUGGAAACACACACAGACACACACACACCUUGCAAAAAAAUUUUUGUCCCCCACCUUGUCUCUGAACCUGUCUCCUCCCAGGUUUCUUCUCUGGAGAAGUUUUUCUAAACCAAACAGACAAGCAGGCGGGCAGCCAGAGAGCUGGCCCAGAGGUCCCUCGGCAAGGGAAACCCAGUGCUGAGGAAGAGUGCGAGGGUCUAGAAAUGCCCUUCAUUUUCUGCUGGUGUUUUCCUCUCUGCAUCCUGCUGACAUAAGAGACCAAGAUGACACCCCUGUGGCCCAAGGGACUUGAGGCUGUGCUGAUGUGAACUGGGGGCAGGGUGGCGGCUCCUCUCCAGCCACCCACUCCAGGGACCUGCGGGGGACCUGGCAGAGGGCGUCGGGCAGCGGGCGGUGAGGCUGGCUGCUGGGGGUCCAGCCGGGUACCUCGGCACCCCCACUUGGCUUUGAGGAUGGAGUUUAUUUCACCCUCUCUGUCUGGGUUGAGUGGGUCUGCGUCUGACCUGGGAACCCCCAGUGAUGCCUGUGGAGGGUGUGGCGCCGGGCUCCCCGACUGUGGCUGGAGGCAGGGCUGGGGCCAGCUCCAGGGGGCUUGGGGGCUCAGCCCUCCUGGGACAUCCCCUUGGGCUGAGGGAGCAAACCUUGGGCACCAGCUCAAGGCUGAUGCUUCCUCCUCCGUGGUAGGAAUUUUGAAAUCAAAGAGAAAUGAUCCUUUGUUGGCUCUUUUGGUUUCUUGUGGGUCCAUUUGGUGGGUCUCCCCCCUCCCCCGCCCCAGGGAAAGGGGUCCCCGAGGGGGCAGAGAAGAGCCUGGUGGGACUCCUGCCGGCGCCGUGCUCUGGGGGCCAUGGCUCCCUUUUCCUCUUUUCCACAUUCUCUUCUCAUUUCCCAGACGAACGCCAACCGUAUGUACGUAACGUGACUCUUUUCUCAACAUAUAUGUAUAUACACAUCCGUAUACAUAUAUCGUGUGGUUUCCCCUUUUUUCCUUUUUUUAAGAAGCAAAACUAUGGAAAUAAUACCCCCACAGAUGAGCGAAAAUGUAUUAUUGUAAAGUUUAUUUUUUUUAAUAAUGUUGUCUAUAAUGGGAAAAAAACGGAGAUUGCCUCCCUGUGUCUCUGCCCCCAUCGGGCUGACUGGGCUGUGGAGGGGGGUUCCUGAUCCGUAUUCAUACUUAGCCAAGGCUCCAAUAAACAUACUAGGAAGCAGUUUGC